rnacentral:rRNA from 1 species
CUAGCCGUAAACGAUGGGUACUAGGUGUAGGGGGUUUAGACGCCCUCUGUGCCGCAGUUAACACAUUAAGUACCCCGCCUGGGGAGUACGGCCGCAAGGCUGAAACUCAAAGGAAUUGACGGGGGCCCGCACAAGCGGUGGAGCAUGUGGUUUAAUUCGAAGCAACGCGAAGAACCUUACCAAGGCUUGACAUAUAUCCGGCGGUUUAGGAAACUAAACUUUCUCUUCGGAGACGGAUAUACAGGUGG